GGGAGUGACCUUUGCAAGACUGCCUUCUUGCUCAUAUGCCAAGGUGUCCAUGAAGGACAGCAAUGUCAUCUUUCUCCUGGCCACACCUCCACAGAGAACCAGGUACAAGAAAGACUUGAUGGUUCCAUGCCCAGGUCAGAGCUUGCAUCUAGACUGGCACAUCUGAGAAGAUCUUGGGAGACUGUGGACCCAUGAGCUCAGGGCACCAAGCUACAAAUGCUGCCAGGCCCUAUGGCCAGGCCUGUCAUCUGAGCUACUUAGGAGUUUGAGGCAGGAAGAUGGACCUGCAGGGUGGAAGGAGAGACCCAGUUCCUGCUUGUUGUUCUCUGAUCUCCACAAUGCACCACAGCAUUCCGCUCCCCAUGCAAAUAAAUACAUGUAAACUUUUUAUGUUUAAAAUAAAAUAACAACAACAUA